AAGAGCUUGAUCAAGCAGUGAGGAGGUCAGUAUUGAACGCUGAUGUGAACAUUGACUUUUAAAGAAGCGGCUUCUAGCAGAAGGCCUGCCCCACUCCUUCUUAAGGAAAGACUUGAGAUAUAAACCACAAUGGGAAAAAAGAAGUGAAGCUAUUGGAAGAUGCUACGUUUCAGGGAAUUGUCUGUCUUUCUACCAACGGGAUCCAGUGAAGUCAGAGCAAGAGCCAACUCAGCAGUGAAAGCAUCAGAGGAAUAAUGGGGAAAAAAGCACAGAGAAGAUCAGUAAUAAGAAACUUUUUCCUAUUUUAUUCAAAGUGAUUACGGAAUGAGUCUCUGUAAGUUUUUGUGGAACACGUUAAAAAAAACAAGAUUCUCCCACAUCCUCUUAAAGCACAAAUAGCUCAAAGAUGAAGAUGAAGGCAGGAAAGCACCAAGGAACCUUCUGAAAAAAUUCCUGAGCGGGAUGGACCUGGAUGUCCCUGACGUACACGAUGGGUGGUCUUCUUCAGAGCCAGCUCUUGAGCUGGGCCUUCCCCGAACGUUUGUCACGGGCACUUCGCCCACGCAUUCCCAGCGCGGCUCUGCAGGAAUACUCCGCGCUCCUCUCCGCCUCCCGCGCCCCUUCGUCCGCUGGCAGGAGGCACUGCUCCCGGCCGGGCCGCGCCGCGGAGUUUUCCUCCUGCAGUGUGAAGCUUUGCUUUCCUCCGCCGUUUUCCACCCGUUUUAAGAUCAGCGCCAUCGUUUCGUUGCACAGUUGCGGAAUAUUUGUCACUGUGAAGGAGAAGCAAAAUGACGGGUCCGAGAAGUGAAGCUGGGAAUGAAGAAAUGCCUAUAAACAAAGAAGCCAGGAGCACUAACGGUGCAUAAAUGGGAAAUGUCCGCAGAGGGUGGAGGUGUAAAUCACAUUCAAAUGUGUUCGAUAAGUCCUGAAGUCAGAACUGCAUACCC
rnacentral:lncRNA from 7 species